UCAUCACAGGGGGGACGAAGGCCGUCCCG
rnacentral:sRNA from 1 species